CUCCAGCGUGUGAUCUACAAAGGGCUCUUUCACAAAAUCGCAUUUAGUCCUCUGAUGCUACCUACCAUUGAAGCCUGUGUCUGAACAGAGCCAGCUGCAGGAGAUGACCAGGCCGAACCCGAGAGAGGGGUCAAAUGUGUUAUCAGUCACGAGUCCCUUCAUGCCCACAAGAGAUGUAAGUCUGGCCCACCUUGAAUUCUUAUUUACCACCAAUUUUGCUAGUUCAGAUUCUUGCAGAGAUCUUAAACUUGCAAUAAAUCUUUAGACCC